GCAUUUCAGUCUUUUGCGCCUUGCUGGCUUUUAUUUUUAUGAUUGAAUGUUCUCUAUUUUGUUUAUUUGAGGAAAAAAAAGAGGAAAUGAGUAUGAAAUACUACUUGUAAGAUUCACAAAUGCAAUAUUGGACUGGACUUGUCUGUUUGGUAACCAUUUAUCUUUUCAAGUAGUUGUCAAUUACAUCAUUUGGAAGUAGACAUUUUCUAUUCAUGGGAGUUCAAUUUAUUUGACAGACAGUUUUAAGAUUCAUUACCUGUAUCCUAUUAUUAUUUAUAUUUUCUGGCAUUUCUUAAAAACUCCUAAAAGCAAGCUAGUGAAUGUGCUGAUAUUAAAGUAACAGUGAUUGCAUUUACUAAAUCUAAAAGUAGUUUUCCUUGUGUUUUCAUGUCAGAUUGGC
rnacentral:misc_RNA from 1 species